AGUGAACGCUGGCGGUAGGCCUAAUACAUGCAAGUCGAACGGCAGCACAGUAAGAUCUUGCUCUUACGGGUGGCGAGUGGCGGACGGGUGAGGAAUACAUCGGAAUCUACUUUUUCGUGGGUGAUAACGGAGGGACACUUACGCUAAUACCUCAUACGACCUACGGGUGAAAUCAGUAGAGCUUCGGACCUUGCGCGAUUGUAUUAGCCGAUGUCGGAUUAGCUAGUUGGCGGGGUAAAGGCCCACCAAGGCAACGAUCCGUAGCUGGUCUGAGAGGAUGAUCAGCCACACUGGAACUGAGACACGGUCCAGACUCCUACGGGAGGCAGCAGUGGGGAAUAUUGGACAAUGGGCGAAAGCCUGAUCCAGCCAUACCGCGUGGGUGAAGAAGGCCUUCGGGUUGUAAAGCCCUUUUAUUGGGAAAGAAAAGCAGCAGGUUAAUACACCGCUGUUCUGACGGUACCCAAAGAAUAAGCAACGGCUAACUUCGUG
rnacentral:rRNA from 1 species